rnacentral:rRNA from 1 species
CGUAGGGUGCGAGCGUUAAUCGGAAUUACUGGGCGUAAAGCGUGCGCAGGCGGUUUUGUAAGACAGAUGUGAAAUCCCCGGGCUCAACCUGGGACCUGCAUUUGUGACUGCAAGGCUAGAGUACGGUAGAGGGGGAUGGAAUUCCGCGUGUAGCAGUGAAAUGCGUAGAUAUGCGGAGGAACACCGAUGGCGAAGGCAAUCCCCUGGACCUGUACUGACGCUCAUGCACGAAAACGUGGGGAGCAAACAGGAUUAGAUACCCUGGUAGUCCACGCCCUAAACGAUGUCAACUGGUUGUUGGGUCUUUACUGACUCAGUAACGAAGCUAACGCGUGAAGUUCGACCGCCUGGGGAGUACGGGCCGCAAGGUUG